UAGGAGCUUUGCAUGGAUUAGGCAAAGCCAAAUUCCUCAUACUAAAGGUACUAAGACUUUGGCUAGAAGAAGGGCUGAAAUGGUAGCUAAGGAAAAAGAUAUUGAUCGAAAAUAAAUGUUGACUGAGACUCAUAAGAGGAAAGAAUGGGGUUAUGUAACUGAUGUGGCUAGGAGAUUAAAAGUAUUCUUCGUAUAUGUACCUGAUGCGGUAAAUGAAUUCUUUUAUUUCAUCCAAGAAUUUAUUGGAUAUCAGUUUACUUUUCCCAAAAGCCAUGUCUUUGUAUAAUGGUUGUUAGCUUGUUUCAUUGCUUAAAUCAUCUCCAAGAAUGGAAAUUCCCACUGUAUUUUAGCUCUGAUUGAGGCUGGUGCUGAUGUAAAUUCAAGGGACUCAUAUGGAGGACCCCGUUAUGUCACUGGCUCUGAAAUUUGGAAAUUUUGAUACCGUUCAAGUUU